rnacentral:rRNA from 1 species
CAGCAGCCGCGGUAAUGCGAAGGGGGCUAACGUUGUUCGGAUUUACUGGGCGUAAAGCGCACGUAGGCGGAUCCUUAAGUCAGAGGUGAAAUCCCAAGGCUCAACCUUGGAACUGCCUUUGAUACUGGGGACCUCGAGUUCGGGAGAGGUGAGUGGAACUGCGAGUGUAGAGGUGAAAUUCGUAGAUAUUCGCAAGAACACCAGUGGCGAAGGCGGCUCACUGGCCCGAUACUGACGCUGAGGUGCGAAAGCGUGAGGAGCAAACAGGAUUAGAUACCCGCGUAGUCCCUGUCUCUUAUAC